rnacentral:rRNA from 1 species
ACGAACGCUGGCGGCGUGCCUAAUACAUGCAAGUCGAACGCUUCUUUUUCCAUCGGAGCUUGCUCCACCGGAAAAAGAGGAGUGGCGAACGGGUGAGUAACACGUGGGUAACCUGCCCAUCAGAAGGGGAUAACACUUGGAAACAGGUGCUAAUACCGUAUAACAAUCGAAACCGCAUGGUUUUGAUUUGAAAGGCGCUUUCGGGUGUCGCUGAUGGAUGGACCCGCGGUGCAUUAGCUAGUUGGUGAGGUAACGGCUCACCAAGGCGACGAUGCAUAGCCGACCUGAGAGGGUGAUCGGCCACAUUGGGACUGAGACACGGCCCAAACUCCUACGGGAGGCAGCAGUAGGGAAUCUUCGGCAAUGGACGAAAGUCUGACCGAGCAACGCCGCGUGAGUGAAGAAGGUUUUCGGAUCGUAAAACUCUGUUGUUAGAGAAGAACAAGGAUGAGAGUAACUGUUCAUCCCUUGACGGUAUCUAACCAGAAAGCCACGGCUAACUACGUGCCAGCAGCCGCGGUAAUACGUAGGUGGCAAGCGUUGUCCGGAUUUAUUGGGCGUAAAGCGAGCGCAGGCGGUUUCUUAAGUCUGAUGUGAAAGCCCCCGGCUCAACCGGGGAGGGUCAUUGGAAACUGGGAGACUUGAGUGCAGAAGAGGAGAGUGGAAUUCCAUGUGUAGCGGUGAAAUGCGUAGAUAUAUGGAGGAACACCAGUGGCGAAGGCGGCUCUCUGGUCUGUAACUGACGCUGAGGCUCGAAAGCGUGGGGAGCAAACAGGAUUAGAUACCCUGGUAGUCCACGCCGUAAACGAUGAGUGCUAAGUGUUGGAGGGUUUCCGCCCUUCAGUGCUGCAGCUAACGCAUUAAGCACUCCGCCUGGGGAGUACGACCGCAAGGUUGAAACUCAAAGGAAUUGACGGGGGCCCGCACAAGCGGUGGAGCAUGUGGUUUAAUUCGAAGCAACGCGAAGAACCUUACCAGGUCUUGACAUCCUACUAACGAGAUAGAGAUAUGUUAGGUGCCCUUCGGGGAAAGUAGAGACAGGUGGUGCAUGGUUGUCGUCAGCUCGUGUCGUGAGAUGUUGGGUUAAGUCCCGCAACGAGCGCAACCCUUAUUGUUAGUUGCCAUCAUUUAGUUGGGCACUCUAGCAAGACUGCCGGUGACAAACCGGAGGAAGGUGGGGAUGACGUCAAAUCAUCAUGCCCCUUAUGACCUGGGCUACACACGUGCUACAAUGGGAAGUACAACGAGUCGCAAAGUCGCGAGGCUAAGCUAAUCUCUUAAAGCUUCUCUCAGUUCGGAUUGUAGGCUGCAACUCGCCUACAUGAAGCCGGAAUCGCUAGUAAUCGCGGAUCAGCACGCCGCGGUGAAUACGUUCCCGGGCCUUGUACACACCGCCCGUCACACCACGAGAGUUUGUAACACCCGAAGUCGGUGAGGUAACCUUUUGGAGCCAGCCGCCUAAGGUGGGAUAGAUGAUUGGGGUG